AAAGAUGGAGGUACAGAUGAAGAUGUAAGAACUCUGAAGCUGAAUAAAUAAAGCCAGGCUUGCAUUCCACACCCUGGAACCUAUCAGGAACUCCAAGGCUUUAUCUCUACACACCCUGAUCCACACCUUCAUCGUAAAUGUAAAGUCAGUCCAUCUAUAUGGAGCUGAGACAUGGCGUCUGACAAACACUAUCACUAACAAGAUACAGACAUUUAUCAACAGAUCUCUGCUCCACAUCCUCAACAUCAGGUGGCCUGAGAAGAUCUCCAAUACAGACCUGUGAUAGAGAACCAACCAAAGACCUGCCAGCCAAGACAUCAAGAAGUGGAAGUGAGGCUGGAGAGAAUUAACUAUGAGAAUUAACCUGUUUUUCAAAAAUGAUGUGCAAAAGGGGAAGAAUUAACAGCAAACAUACCCUGCUCUGUCAACUAAGAUCAUCUACAAAGUGAGACACAGGUAUCAACAGGUAGAUCACCAACUGCUGAUGCUCGGAAGGGCUUAAAGAACACUGAUUGCCCUGCCACAAUAUUUUUGACAUUUUAUGAGAUUAACACUUGUCAUCCUGAUGGCUACACAAAAAAGCAGGUUCAGCACCUCUUGUGCUUGUAGAAUUUUAAAACAGCUGUUUUCUUCAGAGCUGGGUCAAAAACACAAUUUCAGUGGAACCAAAGGGAAAAAAGUUUCCACUCACUUCAGCCGAGAAGUAUAUUAACUGGUACAUAGGAAGCAGAAGUGGGUGACAUUGUUGCAAAAUGGCCUGGGGAUACAAGAGACAGGGAUUGAAGAACGAUUCGAAGGGCAGUGCCAUCUAAUGACAAUCCUUCAUCCUUCUUUGUGCAAAGGAACACUUGACGGGAAUUUAGCUCUCAUCUCAAGGCCAGUUCAGUAUCUGAUUCUCCCAUUGGAUAGCAUCAUGAUCAACAACCACAUUUGGAGGGAGCAUGGGCGUAGUUCGUGCACGGAGUUUCAUUCAUGGUUUUGAAUUAAAAAACAAUUGAUGCUGAAUUGGUGUUUUGCAACAUAUUUACACAACAAAAUUUAAACUAAGAAGUUUUCGACUUCAGUAUGUCUUCUUAAUGUUGUUCCUAAUCACCCCCAGUGGAGCAUAGGGCCGCAACUGCAGUAUGUCACAUACCUUAUUUAAAUAUAAUUUAAUCGGGCGCUAUUUCUAGGGGGAAGACACCUUUUAAGUCCCUUUGCCUGGGAAGAUCACAAUCAUCAACCCUACAAGUUCCAUAUUUAUUUUUUUAAGAGCAUCUGCCACACAAUUACCAGAGGACAUAGGUUUGAUAUCAUGCCAUGCAGCCCUGAGAUUACAAGUGCUGAACUGCAACUUUGUCAUUGUAUUGUUUUUCUCACUAAUGUCAUCCCACACCUCCCUGCUCGCUAGUUUCUUUUUAUAUCAUGGUCGUAAAGUUACAGCGAAAAACAAAACAAUAAACUGUAUGAUUCUUAUACAUUUAGAAGUGAACCCAUUCAUUACUUAACUUUUGACUGUCAGACCUCCAUCUGAUGCUUCCACUGACAAAGUGAAUUAAAAUUUCAGCAUAAGCAAUGAAAAAUUGUCUCCAGCUUUUCCCACCCCAUCCCCUUCACACAACAUUCAUGUUUAUUUAGUGCUUAUGUUUUAUAUUUUAUAGUCACACAUAUGGAAGUGUUACUAAUGAAAUAACACAAUACAUUCCUGUCUAUAUCUAAAUAUGGGACAAAUAAGUGAAGAAAACUGGGGAAAGAAUUAAGAAGUGUUGAAAGUUGCUUGUUACUGACAACAACUUAAAACUUACAAAAUAGUAAGCUGAAAUGUGUCUUACAAAGAAACAGUAAAUCAACAUGCAAUUGAAACCAUUAUUAGGAAUAUUCUCUUUAGGAUUAUUCAGCCCAAAAUGUGCAAAAGAAUUGGAAUGUUAUUCAUUUAACAUGGUGUAAAUGAUUUUUUUCUUUCCUUGGGACUACACAGUCCAAAUUUGUGCUAAAAAAUCAGGAACAGGUUUUCAGAAGGAUUUCUAAUCAGGCACAAUCAUGCUAACAAAAGAUAGACAAAAUUACAAUAAUGAUUGAAACAGCAAUCUAGACUGCAUUAAAAGCCCAUGCACAGAAAGACGUCUUCUUUCUGUUACGAAAAAGAGAGAGAAAGAAAAAAAUAAGUUUGAAAUAAGUUUGAAACUGGCUGUUCAAAAAGUGUUGCUACAAAAAUGGUGUCUUAGACCUCCUGUCUGACACAAAAGGUGGUCCAGAACAUUGUUCAUCUUUGGCAGUUGAGGCAUAUCUGAAGUAAACAUUACUAGAAAAUGAGAGUGGUGUUCCAUACAAAGUGUCUCCGGUUCAGUUCCCACUAGAGUUUAUAGAGGCAUAGCACUGUUUUGGGACAUUUGCUUAUUUUUAACAUGAAUGCAUCGCAACUCUUACAGAAAGAUCAGGUGCUGAGGCAAGCCAAACAAUUAUCCUCCACAACUGCUUGUACAAAUAAGACAAAAAAAAAAAAAAAAA